rnacentral:lncRNA from 1 species
AAAGAAUUGGAGUUUUGUGGCUGCUGGAUUCUAAAAGGGGUGAUGACCUGACCUGAGAGGGACGUAAGGUCAAAAAUCUGAAACAAUCAUUGCAUGUAUGACUUUCCAGAGAGCCUUACAGUCAUUUUUAUAAAAGCAAGAGUUCAACAACAGUUCAGCAACACAGCAUCUGCCUACCAUCUCCCUGUAGAAUUUUUACUGCCAGUAUUUCACCACCAGCAUUUACAAUGAUUAUAGGCUUAACGAAUUCAUUAAACUAUAUUUAAAAAGUCUUUCCAGAAUAAAAAAAAUUGUUGUUGUUUCAAACAA